GUUGUGUUUGGUGAAGUCCAGAGGCCCCUCCCACUCCUGCUUGUAGCCCAGGAGGUUGGGUGAUGUCAUCCCGCUGCUCCCGCCGUGAUGCAGCGAGGACGAAGAGGAGGAGGAGGAGGAGGAGGAAGAGGAGGAAGGGUCCGGCGAGCGGACGCCCGGGCUGGUGCCAGACAGGCUGCCUUCGUGUUUGAUGGGCUUCUUCAUGCUCAGGUCCAAGGGGGGAUCCUGUCCUUGUGGGGACACCCUGACAGGCUGCGAUGGUGGGGGUAGAGGCCGGUCACGUGACCUGUCCCGUCACACCCCGGAGUGGGACACUUGAUCUCCCGCUUCUCCGGCCGACUGCUCUCUGCGAGGACGGGAAGGAGGACAAGAUGGAGGACAAAAGCAAGUUAGCGCCAUCAGACAGUCUGCUUGGCAGAGCAUGAAAUCUAGACAUGGUUCUGAUUUCACCAUCUGUGUCUGUUCUUUUCGUCUGAUGCGGAUGUCUUUAAUAACGCAAUGAUGAUGAUAUUUAUGUGUUGAAAAGA